rnacentral:rRNA from 1 species
UACGGAGGGUGCAAGCGUUAAUCGGAAUUACUGGGCGUAAAGCGCACGUAGGUGGUUUGUUAAGCUAGCUGUGAAAUCCCCGGGCUCAACCUGGGCACUGCAGUUAGAACUGGCAAGCUAGAGUAGGGUAGAGGGGUGUGGAAUUCCAGGUGUAGCGGUGAAAUGCGUAGAUAUCUGGAGGAACACCGGUGGCGAAGGCGGCAUCCUGGACCGGCAUUGACGCUGAGGCGCGAAAGCCAGGGGAGCAAACGGG